UAUUAAAUUUUUCACCCAUUUGUACGGUUAAAAACUGGUGUAGCUGAUAGAAUAAGAUGACAGUGACACGUGGCGUGCCACAUGUACCUUAUGUUGAUGUAUAAUGACAAGUUUUUAACAGUAGAAAUGGAUGAAAUUUUUAACA
rfam:Gossypium raimondii Chr03_contig_66, whole genome shotgun sequence.